GCGCCCCCUUCAGCAGCACAUACCUUAAAACUGGAAUGAUACAGAGAAGAUUAGCAGGGCCCUUGUUCAAACAUGAUAUGCAAAUUCAUGAGGCAUUCCAUAUUUUC